rnacentral:rRNA from 1 species
CUGAUCUUGGAAGCUAAGCAGGGCUGUGCCUAGUUACUACUUGGAUGGGAGACCACCUAGGAAGACCAGGUGCUGUAGGCA